UUUGAGUUAUAUUUAAAGUCUAACCUGCCCACUGAAAAUUUUUGAAUGGCCGCAGUAAUUUGACUGUGCAAAGGUAGCAUAAUCAUUAGUUUUUUAAUUAAAAGCUUGUAUGAAAGGUUGAACGAAGUAAAAUCUGUCUCUAUUUAAUUAAAUUUAGAAUUUAAUUUUUAAGUUAAAAAGCUUAAAUAUUUGUAAAAGACGAGAAGACCCUAUAGAGCUUUAUAAUUUAUUAAAUAUAAUUAUUUAAGAUUAUUUUAAGUUUUAUUAUAUAAAUUAUUUUAUUGGGGUAAUAUAAAGAUUUAAAUAAUUCUUUUUUUUUAUUAACACUAAUUUGUGAUAUAAUGAUCCAUUUUUAUUGAUUAAAAGAUUAAGUUACCUUAGGGAUAACAGCGUAAUUUUUUUAAAGAGUUCAUAUCGAUAAAAAAGUUUGCGACCUCGAUGUUGGAUUAAAGAUUAGUUUAGGUGUAGAAGUUUAAAUUUUUGGUCUGUUCGACCAUUAAAUCUUUACAUGAUCUGAGUUCAGACCGGUGUAAGCCAGGUCGGUUUCUAUCUUUAUUAAAUUUAAAUAUUUCAGUACGAAAGGACCAAAUAUUUAAUAUAUUUAUAUUUUAUUUUUUGAAUAUUAAU
rnacentral:rRNA from 1 species